rnacentral:lncRNA from 1 species
ACAAUGUAUAGGAGGCAGAUAACAAGUUUGUGUGGUUCUACAUGUAUGAACCAAAAGUUGUAACUGUCAAUUAAACCAACAGUGCUGAAGUCUAUAACCUGAAAUAUCUCAGACAUCGUUUUGGUAUAUUUUUAAAUUUUUGAGAACUUAUUUUGUUGACCACAACAAGUUUUUAUGAACUUAAGUAUAUCUUGUGCAUAAUUGUGCCUAAUUUGUACCUACAUAGCCCCGAUUGUUUGACAUAAUUAGUUAUAAUGCAUGCAUCGGUCGCGGGGGAUUUUAGGUGACCAAAGUUGUAAAGUAUUUUUUUAUAUAUACGUUUUUCGGACUCUUGUAGUAAAAAAAAUAACUUAAGUCUAAUUAGUUGUUUUAAAAGGACGAAAAACGAAGGAGAAACGGUGUUGUAGUUAAUAAAAAGAGGAGAAGGUUCACAAAAUAAAAACGUAUAUACCAAAUUAUACGGAUAGUUUUUGUUUGUCUUUCGAUAACUGAAAAGACCUUUCUCACCCAAAUGUAUACAUAAGUCUUUGUAUCUUAUAUUCUUAAGCUUCGACACACUUGCCGAUUAUGUAUAAAACCAAAUUUAAAUAUAAAAAUAAGUUUUGCUGCUACAAAAAUGUAUGGUCUUUGAGAAUUUAAUCCUUGCACGAGGACAUUUCUAAACAACGUAAUUCUCUUUUCCAAAUUAAAUUUAUUGAAUAGAAUUUUCAAAAUAUUUAGUAUACUGUUGUUCCUUUUUUAAUCUACAUUUGAUAUAAUCGGGUUCCUUUGAUAUUUUGAUAGAUUGUAAAUCAGACAACGCAGCAUAGUUAAACCAAUAUACAUGAAAAAUAUUUAAAAAAAAACCAGCAAUUGACAGAUAAAUGUACUGAUUUGUAUGUGAAGAUAUUAUUUUC